UAGAAGCACCUGCAAGGUUGACAGCCAAACGACAAGAAACUGUCGUUUGAAAGUCACUAUAUUAAAUUAUCAAAACUAAAAGAGACAAGCAUAACGGUAUAUUCGAGUAAAUAGACAAGUGUGUUUUAACUUAAUUUCGGACAAAGACACAAGUUAACGAGUCUCCGGAGUUUUUACGAGCUAUAGGCCUAUUGGCGAUCGAGAGACAGUACAGAUGAAGUGGAAGACCAAAGAUGUCUACAAUGAACACUGCCAGCUCCACAAUGGUGUACCACCAUGGGCCCUGCAUCUGGAGGAUUGCAAGCUUUCACCCGUCUCAGAAAGGCCAGGAAGGGAGUGGGGUGCUCGGGUACCCCGUGGUCUGGCCAGGCCGUGAACUGGAACUGCCUCACCUCUCUCUUCUCACUGGAGCCAUUCUGAAUUAUGGAUUUGGUGAAAGGGGAAGCUGAUAAAGGCCAAUGCCAGAAGCUGGAGCCAGCAGGGGAUCAAGAAAGUAUCAGCAAC